rnacentral:rRNA from 1 species
AGCGAGCGGAACCAACAGAUUUACCUCGGUAAUGACGUUGGGAAAGCGAGCGGCGGAUGGGUGAGUAACACGUGGGGAACCUGCCCCUAAGUCUGGGAUACCAUUUGGAAACAGGUGCUAAUACCGGAUAAUAAAGCAGAUCGCAUGAUCAGCUUUUGAAAGGCGGCGUAAGCUGUCGCUAAGGGAUGGCCCCGCGGUGCAUUAGCUAGUUGGUAAGGUAACGGCUUACCAAGGCGACGAUGCAUAGCCGAGUUGAGAGACUGAUCGGCCACAUUGGGACUGAGACACGGCCCAAACUCCUACGGGAGGCAGCAGUAGGGAAUCUUCCACAAUGGACGCAAGUCUGAUGGAGCAACGCCGCGUGAGUGAAGAAGGUUUUCGGAUCGUAAAGCUCUGUUGUUGGUGAAAAGGAUAAGGUAUAACUGGCCUUUAUUUGACGGUAAUCAACCAAAAGUCACGGCUAACUACGUGCCAGCAGCCGCGGUAAUACGUA